UGUCUAAGGUGUUUUGUUGUCAGUAGGCUACUCAAUGGCCGCCUUGCUCAUUCAUGUUUUGUGAUGACAAGCAAACCAUAUACGAUCCAUAUAAAUCGUCAGAAAUAUUGUCUGUGUGUGAAAUGUGUGUAAAAUGAUCAUAUUUGUUACGUGUAGACUAUAAUAUUAUGAAUAUAAUUAGCCAUGGUGGCUAUGAAGUCUCCGUGUGUAGCGUUAGCAUUUUAGCAUUAGUUUAACCAAGGAUAGGUUCAGCUAGUUAUUUGCUGACCAGUUUUCUUCCGAUCAGCGACAUAUUAUUAACAUUAUGUAUAUGCUAAGUGUCAAAUAUAGUUGAUGGAAAGGUGGUAGUGAGAGGUAGAUGCAACCGCUCGAUGAGGAGGAAUGAGGAGCCCCACAUACUACAUGUUUCUGCUGAGUUAGGGCCCGUUGGCCCAAGUCUGUUAGUUUUGAUAGUCUGUCUGGACUAACAACUGCAGUUGCAGUUUUCCUCUUCUUCUGAAGUUCAGAUCAUUUUCAUUGUUCUUUCUUACAAACAGUAGCGUGCUUAAGACUUGGCCCACCUAGCUUGCUGCAAUGUUGUGGCUGUACAGACCUAUGUAUUUUUCUUCCUCUUCAUUAAGGCACAAGCCGUAAAUAAAGGAAAUUUGUUGAGUGCAUUAAAAGGACAAACAUCUAGUUCAUGUUAUAACAUUGCUAAAACAACAGAUGUAAUGGUGGCCCAAGAGUUUUGCACGGAACUGUACAUGGCUUUUCUGCGGUUGCAGGCUCCUUGCCAGUUUCCAAUGGCCUUAUAUCAAGGUCCUACCUACUAAGUUCAGUAACUCAAUUCUUAUGGUGUUCACAGAUCACCCUGGAGGCUGUUGGACAACUGGGUCUCUCAGAGCUGUAGCUUUGCUGCGGGCAAAGGCUUCUGUAGCCAUAUAACCGCUCUGCUGUUCCAGACAGCGCAUUAUGUGCAGCUGGGCCUUGAUGUGGUUCCACCUUCCCUGGCCUGUACCAGUCAACCACAGAUGUGGCAUCGACCUCGAACCCACGUGUGCUGUUGUGUCCUCUGUUCAAAUCAUACACUUCAGUAUUUGUCUAGAGUAUAUGAGCAUUUCCUGUAUUGUUGUUCGCCUCAGGGAAUCCAUCCAGAGGCUGUGAGUGACCUGGUGGUGAAGAAACCCAAGUCGGUGGGGAAGACUGGAGUCAAGUCCACACUCUACAGAGCGUAUGCUGAGGGAAUAUCCAGCUUGGAGUUGGUACCAUCUCAGCUGUGCUGACCUGGAAGAUGUCAGCAAUGACUUGUUCUUUAAGGCCAGUUGCUACUCUACAACAGUAGAUGAAAAACUCAUCAAUGGCUGGAAUCUUCCUUGAAGGGCUUGGUGUUGGAAUCGCCUCUUGUCCAAUCCUCUGUGCUUUGCUCCAAUAAAGAAUAUAUUGUGUUGAGGGGCAAAACAGACUCCCAAAACACUUGAAACACUUCUUGAGAUGGAAACCGAGUAUAAUAUGUCAUGGUCUGAUCAGACACACAAAAUCUGUUGAGGACAGUUUGUGGCCCCAUGGACAUUUCUUGCAGCCUUGCCUCCAGCUCAGCAAUAUACUCCAGGGCAUCAUCCAGUGCACCUACAAAAAAAGAAGACAAAUCAGUCUUCAUUACCAUUCAUUCGUAUUCACCCUUUCUUUUUAUUGUAUUGUUAUUCUGUAUACUUAAGUUUAUUUAUAUUUAUUAUUAUUAAAUUUAUUUGUACUGUU